UACGGGGGGAGCAAGCGUUGUUCGGAUUUACUGGGCGUAAAGGGCGCGUAGGCGGCGUGACAAGUCACUUGUGAAAUCUCCGGGCUUAACCCGGAGCGGCCAAGUGAUACUGUCGUGCUAGAGUGCGGAAGGGGCUACUGGAAUUCUCGGUGUAGCGGUGAAAUGCGUAGAUAUCGAGAGGAACACCUGCGGCGAAGGCGGGUAGCUGGGCCGACACUGACGCUGAGGCGCGAAAGCAUGGGUAGCAAACAGG
rnacentral:rRNA from 1 species